rnacentral:rRNA from 1 species
AGUGAAGCGGCAACAGCUCAAAUUUGAAAUCUGGCCCUUGUGGUCCGAGUUGUAAUUUGUAGAGGAUGCUUUUGGUGAGGUACCUUCCGAGUUCCCUGGAACGGGACGCCAUAGAGGGUGAGAGCCCCGUCUGGUUGGAUACCGAUCCUCUGUAAAGCUCCUUCGACGAGUCGAGUAGUUUGGGAAUGCUGCUCUAAAUGGGAGGUAUAUGUCUUCUAAAGCUAAAUAUUGGCCAGAGACCGAUAGCGCACAAGUAGAGUGAUCGAAAGAUGAAAAGCACUUUGAAAAGAGGGUUAAAUAGUACGUGAAAUUGUUGAAAGGGAAGCGCUUGUGACCAGACUUGGGCUUGGUUAAUCAUCCAGGGUUCUCCCUGGUGCACUUGGCCAGCCCAGGCCAGCAUCAGUUUGUCGCGGGGGAUAAAGGCGUUGGGAAUGUGGCUCCCCCGGGAGUGUUAUAGCCCUUCGUGUAAUACCCUGCUUUAGACUGAGGUUCGCGCAUCUGCAAGGAUGCUGGCGUAAUGGUCAUCAGCGACCCGUCUUGAAACACGGACCAAGGAGUCGUCUUCGUAUGCGAGUGUUCGGGUGUCAAACCCCUACGCGUAAUGAAAGUGAACGCAGGUGAGAGCUUCGGCGCAUCAUCGACCGAUCCUGAUGUUCUCGGAUGGAUUUGAGUAAGAGCAUACGGGGCCGGACCCGAAAGAAGGUGAACUAUGCCUGUGUAGGGUGAAGCCAGAGGAAACUCUGGUGGAGGCUCGCAGCGGUUCUGACGUGCAAAUCGAUCGUCAAACAUGGGCAUGGGGGCGAAAGACUA